rfam:Asian citrus Psyllid, Diaphorina citri - Florida Strain, whole genome shotgun sequence.
GCCAGCAACGAUGGCAUGUUGAAUGUACGAGCUCCUAAUGGAUCAUUGAAGUUAAGCAACGUUGCACGUGGUUGGUAUUCGGAUGAGUGACCAUCUGGACAAUCACCUGGUGGCUUUCC